rnacentral:lncRNA from 1 species
AAAGUUAAAUUUCGCAUUGGGUCCAAAAAUAUGCAUCACUACAGGUGAUCAGCCAACCGCUUGUGUCAACCCCAGUUGCACACUAGAAGGAGGUCAAGUUCAGCUGUCCACUUCAUCGCAGCUUCAGUCUUCUAUGAGCCCAAGCAUCUGAGCCGCGUGCAGCCCAUCCUCCCGUGUGGAAGAAUCACGAAGCAUCCUCCGCGUCUACUUCUUCAGAGCGGCCCAACGUGUGACCCCUCAUCCAGUGUCCGUAAAACCUCCCAGCACCCAAAUCUCAUCCUUCGAUCCAGUCAUCCGAGUCCCAGUUCACAGCGCGUCCCAGCAUCUGCGUGCACCCUCCCAGAUUCUGCCUCAUCCACGAGCCCAUCCACGCGUCCGUGAUCUCAGCGUGCGCAUCCCAGCGUCCGCGUGCAAUCCGCGAAGAUCCCGCAUCCACAACACAAAUCCAGCCUUUUCCAGCAUCUUGUGAGGCAUCAUCCGCGCCCCAUCCUUCGAUCCGCGUCCAUCCGACUCCCAGCAAAGGCUCUGCCACCAGCUAUCCCGAAAUCCUAGCUUCCGUGAUCACGAUUCACCCCGCAUCCAGCUUCUUCCACGAGUCCCAGAUCACAAUCUCCUGAGCAACUCGCUUCCCAGCGAUUUUCCAGCAAGUCCCGACUUCAUCCCAGCAUCCACGCUCCUCCCUUCCGAUCCAUCUGUUGGAUUUCCCAGCGAUUUCAACUCUCCCGAGCGUCCCAGCAUGCCACGUCCGCAUCCAUCCUCUUCUCGGAGGAUUCAUCCCAUCCGUCCGUCCUCUCCAUGUGCCAUGAGGGAAUCCAUCGCUGGUUGAGGAGCUUUGGGGAUCUAUAUGAAGGGAUCUCUCGGCUGGAGGGGGUUCUU